rnacentral:rRNA from 1 species
AGAUUUAAAGGUCGAACAGACCUAAUUACUGGGCUCCUGCACCCAAAAUUAUUCUUAAUCCAACAUCGAGGUCGCAAUCUGCUUUGUCAAUAUGAGCUCUCAAAAACAAUUACGCUGUUAUCCCUAAGGUAACUUAAUCUUAUGAUCAUAAAUUAUGGAUCAAAAUAAACAUAAAUCAAUGAUUUUAUAAUGAAGAGUUUAUUUAUUCUUCAUGUCACCCCAACAAAACAUUAUCUUAAAAUAUAAAAAAACUAUCUAAAAAUUAUAUUAAAAUAAAAUGUCAAGCUCUAUAGGGUCUUCUCGUCUUUAAGAAAAAUUUAAGCCUUUUAACUCAAAAGUUAAAUUCUAUUAUUUAAUAAGAGACAGUUAAUUUCUCGUCAAGCCAUUCAUUCCAGCCCCUAAUUAAGAGACUAAUGAUUAUGCUACCUUUGCACGGUCAAAAUACCGCGGCUCUUUAAAACUUGUCAGUGAGCAGGCCAGACCUCAAAAUAUAAUCAAGAGGACAUGUUUUUGUUAAACAGGGGG